UGGGCGCAAGCCUGAUCCAGCCAUGCCGCGUGGGUGAUGAAGGCCCUAGGGUUGUAAAGCCCUUUCAGCGGGGAAGAUAAUGACGGUACCCGCAGAAGAAGCCCCGGCUAACUUCGUGCCAGCAGCCGCGGUAAUAC
rnacentral:rRNA from 1 species